ANACNUGCAGUCGAGCGAAUGGAUUAAGAGCUUGCUCUUAUGAAGUUAGCGGCGGACGGGUGAGUAACACGUGGGUAACCUACCCAUAAGACUGGGAUAACUCCGGGAAACCGGGGCUAAUACCGGAUAAUAUUUUGAACUGCAUAGUUCGAAAUUGAAAGGCGGCUUCGGCUGUCACUUAUGGAUGGACCCGCGUCGCAUUAGCUAGUUGGUGAGGUAACGGCUCACCAAGGCAACGAUGCGUAGCCGACNNGAGAGGGUGAUCGGCCACACAGGGACUGAGACACGGCCCAGACACNUACGGGAGGCAGCAGUAGGGAAUCUUCCGCAAUGGACGAAAGUCUGACGGAGCAACGCCGCGUGAGUGAUGAAGGCUUUCGGGUCGUAAAACUCUGUUGUUAGGGAAGAACAAGUGCUAGUUGAAUAAGCUGGCACCUUGACGGUACCUAACCAGAAAGCCACGGCUAACUACGUGCCAGCAGCCGCGGUAAUACGUAGGUGGCAAGCGUUAUCCGGAAUUAUUGGGCGUAAAGCGCGCGCAGGG
rnacentral:rRNA from 1 species